rnacentral:piRNA from 1 species
UGAGCAGGGAGAGGGCAAACCCUGC